rnacentral:rRNA from 1 species
UACGUAGGAGGCGAGCGUUGUCCGGAUUUACUGGGCGUAAAGCGCGCGCAGGCGGCACUUCAAGUAAGGUGUGAAAUCUCCCUGCUCAACGGGGAGGGUGCACUUUAGACUGGGGAGCUAGAGGACGGUGGAGGGGGGUGGAAUUGCUGGUGUAGCGGUGAAAUGCGUAGAGAUCAGCAGGAACACCCGUGGCGAAGGCGGCCCCCAGGGCCGUACCUGACGCUGAGGCGCGAAGGCUAGGGGAGCGAACGGG